GCAGUGGUGGUUCAAUGGUAGAAUUCUUGCCUUCCGUGCAGGAGCCCAGGGUCCAAUUCCUGGCCAAUGUA
rnacentral:tRNA from 1 species